UACGAAGGGGGCUAGCGUUGCUCGGAAUCACUGGGCGUAAAGGGUGCGUAGGCGGGUUUUAAGUCAGAGGUGAAAUCCUGGAGCUCAACUCCAGAACUGCCUUUGAUACUGAAAAUCUUGAGUAUGGGAGAGGUGAGUGGAACUGCGAGUGUAGAGGUGAAAUUCGUAGAUAUUCGGAAGAACACCAGUGGCGAAGGCGGCUCACUGGACCGGCAUUGACGCUGAGGAGCGAAAGCUAGGGGAGCAAACGGG
rnacentral:rRNA from 1 species